rnacentral:misc_RNA from 1 species
GAUGAAGAACGUAGCGAAAUGCGAUAAGUAAUGUGAAUUGCAGAAUUCAGUGAAACAUCGAAUCUUUGAACGCACAUUGCGCCCGUCAGUAUUCUGGCGGGCAUGCCUGUUCGAGCGUCAUUACGCCCCUCAAGUCCCCUGUGGACUUGGUGUUGGGGAUCGGCGAGGCUGGUUUUCCAGCACAGCCGUCCCUUAAAUUAAUUGGCGGUCUCGCCGUGGCCCUCCUCUGCGCAGUAGUAAAACACUCGCAACAGGAGCCCGGCGCGGUCCACUGCCGUAAAACCCCCCAACUUUUUAUAGUUGACCUCGAAUCAGGUAGGACUACCCGCUGAACUUAAGCAUAUCAUAAGCGGAGGA